AUGAAAAUGCUGACAGGAAUAACCAUCCUCCUAAUGUUGGGUGUGAUGGCUGACGCCGAGGUCACACAGCCAAGUUCAGUGCAGAGCAAUGAAGGAGACCUUGUGCGAUUGCCCUGUGAGCACUCUACCAUCAGUACAGCUGACUACAUCCAUUGGUAUCGACAGAUUCCUCACAACAGUCCAGAGUACCUGAUUCACAGUCUGAGAACCAAUGAGACCAGAGGAAGAGUUUCUUUGAUCAUGGCACCAGACAGAAAGUCCAGCACCUUGGUCCUGCCCCAGGUCACCGUGAGAGACUCUGCUGUGUACUACUGCACCGUGAGAGAGGCACACUGA